UUCGCAAUGCCCGAAAGGGUGACGAAGCGACGCCGCGUGCGGGAAGAAGGCCUUCGGGUUGUAAACCGCUGUCGGGAGUUAAGAAAUGUAAGGAUGUUAAUAGCAUCUUUGCUUGACUAAGGCUCCGGAGGAAGCCACGGCUAACUCUGUGCCAGCAGCCGCGGUAAUACAGAGGCGGCAAGCGUUGUUCGGAAUUAUUGGGCGUAAAGAGCACGUAGGCGGCUAUGUAAGUCGGUUGUGAAAGCCUUCCGCUCAACGGGAGAACAGCAUCCGAUACUGCAUGGCUUGAGUGCGGGAGGGGAGAGUGGAACUUCUGGUGGAGCGGUGAAAUGCGCAGAUAUCAGAAGGAACGCCGGCGGCGAAAGCGGCUCUCUGGCCCAUAACUGACGCUGAGUGUGCGAAAGCUAGGGGAGCAAACGGGAUUAGAUACCCCGGUAGUCCUAGCCGUAAACGAUGGGCACUAAGUAGAGGGGUUUU
rnacentral:rRNA from 1 species